GCGGCGCGCAACCGCCAGGGAGGCUGGAUUGGCCCGCGGAGACAGAGGCCGCGGCGCGCAGGAGGGGCGGCGGCCGCCGGCUUUUUGAAUCUCACUCACUAAACCUAGUCUCUCUUGGAAGACCUCCUCUGCCUCAAUCAGCAUUUUCCCCGUAGACCCAGCAAGAGCACUCUGUUCCCUUGAAGAUUCAAUCUCCUGUGUGACUCCUGCAAAUACUGGGAUCUUUUUAGAAUUUCCUCUCUAAGAGCCAUUCACAAAGUGGAUGUCAAGGAAAAAAUAAGGAGGCAGAAAGAGAGAGAAGAAAAGAAGAAAUUGAGCAAGAAUGGAAGAAGGGCGGGGUGCAGUGUCUCACACCUGUAAUCCCAGCACUUUGAUUGGCCAAGGCAGG